GAUGAACGCUGGCGGCGUGCCUAAUACAUGCAAGUCGAGCGAACGGACGCGAAGCUUGCUUUUCUGAUGUUAGCGGCGGACGGGUGAGUAACACGUGGAUAACCUACCUAUAAGACUGGGAUAACUUCGGGAAACCGGAGCUAAUACCGUAUAAUAUUUUGAACCGCAUGGUUCAAAAGUGAAAUACGGUCUUGCUGUCACUUAUAGAUGGAUCCGCGCUGCAUUAGCUAGUUGGUAAGGUAACGGCUUACCAAGGCAACGAUGCAUAGCCGACCUGAGAGGGUGAUCGGCCACACUGGAACUGAGACACGGUCCAGACUCCUACGGGAGGCAGCAGUAGGGAAUCUUCCGCAAUGGGCGAAAGCCUGACGGAGCAACGCCGCGUGAGUGAUGAAGGUCUUCGGAUCGUAAAACUCUGUUAUUAGGGAAGAACAUAUGUGUAAGUAACUGUGCACAUCUUGACGGUACCUAAUCAGAAAGCCACGGCUAACUACGUG
rnacentral:rRNA from 1 species